UAUCUUUGUUCUUAAUAGGAACCAACUGUUAUCGUCACAACAGGUGAACAACCAAAUACAAUAAUGAUUACCGCACAAGCAGGCUCGGCUUCCAACCAGCAGCCACUACCAAAUACAGUGAUGAUGACCACACAAGCAUACCCGGUCUACAGCCAAGUUAGCCAACAUCCACCAGCUUAUGAUCCACCUGCUGGUCAAGGCCAAAUGGUCGUCGAUAGCAAAGCUGAUUGAUUACAUUUUUCACAUGUAAUUACCAUGCCUUUUCAGAUAAAUGAUUCAGUCAAAUAAUGUAUUAUUAAAGGCCUAUAUUUGCACGAACAAUUAUGUAUUGAAUAUUGAUAAAACCGAACCAGCUAACUAAAUAUGUAGUUCAGUAUAAGUUUCAUUUGUGCACAAUCAAAUUAAGAGGGGAAUGUUUUGUAUGUUACGUAACACGCGCUCAAAACCAAUGAAUAUACCUUUCCACUCAGUUAUGACUAGUUCAAUUUUUUUAAUUUUUGAUACGUUUCUCUAGCGGCAAAUAAACGUAAAAAGUAUGUUUAGUGCUCUAUCUGUAAGUACAGUUAUACAUCAUACCACAUACAGGAUUUGCGUCAAUUAGUGAACUCAGUGCACAUGCUCACAUGUAUACUACUAUUUGCUGAGCAACGUGUGUUUGUAAAUUCCCACUUUCUAGCCAAUAGCUAGCCUGCUC
rnacentral:lncRNA from 1 species